rnacentral:misc_RNA from 1 species
UUUCCGUAGGUGAACCUGCGGAAGGUUCAUUAACGAGUUAGGGUCUCUCUGGCCCGACCUCCCAACCAUUUGUCUCCUUGACCAUCGUUGUUUCGGCGAGUCCGUCCUAACGGACCGCCGGAUGCACCUUUACUGGCGCUCUGGUACGCGCUCGUCGGUCGCCAAACCUUUAAAAUCUUCAUCUAUACGUGGUUUUAUCUUUGUUAAAUUAUUAAAUAAAAGCAAAACUUUCAACAACGUAUCCCUUUGUUUUUGUAUCGCUGAAGAACGGAGAAGAUU